GGGGGAUAUUGCACAAUGGAGGGAACUCUGAUGCAGCAACGCCGCGUGAGUGAUGAAGGCCUUCGGGUUGUAAAGCUCUGUCUUCUGGGACGAUAAUGACGGUACCAGAGGAGGAAGCCACGGCUAACUACGUGCCAGCAGCCGCGGUAAUACGUAGGUGGCAAGCGUUGUCCGGAUUUACUGGGCGUAAAGGAUGCGUAGGCGGAUAUUUAAGUGAGAUGUGAAAAUCCCGGGCUUAACUUGGGAACUGCAUUUCAAACUGGGUAUCUAGAGUGCAGGAGAGGAAAGCGGAAUUCCUAGUGUAGCGGUGAAAUGCGUAGAGAUUAGGAAGAACACCAGUGGCGAAGGCGGCUUUCUGGACUGUAACUGACGCUGAGGCAUGAAAGCGUGGGGAGCAAAC
rnacentral:rRNA from 1 species